AGGAUGAACGCUGGCGGUGUGCCUAAUACAUGCAAGUCGAACGGGAUCUUCGGAUCUAGUGGCGAACGGGUGAGUAACACGUUGGUACCUACCCCUAAGUGGGGAAUAACUGCCCGAAAGGGUGGCUAAUACCGCAUAAUCCCGCAAGGGUAAAGCAGUAAUGCGCUUAGGGAGGGGCCUGCGUCUGAUUAGCUAGUUGGUAGGGUAAUGGCCUACCAAGGCGACGACGGGUAGCC
rnacentral:rRNA from 1 species